AGAAGGGGAAAGAUGACGCACCGAGAGCGCGGGGUAGUGUCUGCCCCCGGGGAGGGCGCCCACCUCCCGGAAGCGGAAACGGAGACCGGAGACCGGCGGUCCCCUCCCCCACUCGCCCGCGGAAAACUCAACAGGAGAGUGGUCUCGAGUCCUGAGUGGACACACCUACCUGACAGCUUGCAUUCAUUUAAGAUGGUAAAACAUCACUUCCCAUCGCUCCACGUCUUCCCUGGCCUCGCUUCACCUUCCCCCCAUCCUCGCCGCCUGGGGUUUGCACGCGUAUGGGAAGCGGCGGCUCUCCUUCCUUCCUCGCCUGGGGACUCUGUCCUGGGGUAGGAGGGCUGGAAAAACCACGUUCGAUUGCACGCCCCCUCCAUGUGAGCUGGCUCUGAAAGCCAGGAAAUUGAGAUAAAGGCAGGACAAGGAGAAAGAGCAGCCUUCAGGAAGCAAAACGAGACUGUCUCCUAGAAAAGACAAGGGGCUUCAUAAGGGCCAAGAGUCCAUUCACCUCUGAACUCACAAAAUCAAUGGCAUGCCGUUCAGGAGAAAAUACGAAACACAUCCAGGCAGCUGUAAGGAAAGAAGCUGUGACCACUGGGACUUUGCAGUGCAGUGCCAUGCAUGCCCAGGUAGCAUGCACACUUCUGACUGGGACCUCCAGAAACAGUUCCUGCCCCUUUACGUGGGUGCCGGGAAGGCUAUGGUUUUCUCUGUACCUCGACAUCCUGAAAUAAUGAGGAUUAUUGGAGUCUAACCUUCAGGAAGACAGAGAUGAAGAUGCCCCUACCCCAAAUAUGCAAGGACCUCACAUGACCCAGGGACAAGACAAUCCCUGUCUAUUCUCUCCUUGGUUUGAAGAUGGGCACACGGUCCAAGGCACACCUAAUUUCAGUGAGAAGGAAGACAGCAACUGUGUCACUUAACAUGACAUUCGAGGCGUCCUCCGGUGCCAAUUGCUUCUGCAGCCUGAAACCCCUAGCUUUCCUACUUUUCUAGUCUAGGUGGGACAACACAGGACCAAGGGAAAGUUAUUUGUGAAGGGUUACAGAGCCUCUGAAAACUCUGACUGUGAAGACCACAGUGUCUUCAACCCUGCGCGCUUGUUCUGGCCAUGGGCUGUUAGGCUCCCGUCAGCAUAUUAUAGGUAAAGACUAGACACCGCUAAUGUCCCUUAAUGGAAAUAAAAGGCACUUAUGAAAUAGGUACAAAGGGGAGUACAUUCUCAGGAGCAGGGAGCCAUCAUCUCUCAGACCUGCACCAGUGCUGCUCUCUGUAAUGACGUUAGCAAGCAUUUAGAACUGGCACUAUUUUUUACUUUUUCCUGCUUCGGUGAUGAAGGUGAACAGCAUAUGGCACCCCAAGACAUGCUACUUUGGCAUAUUGAUUAUUUUGAGUGGUAGGCACUUGAAAAACAGCAAAUGCAGAAAGAGGCUUUCUUGGCUUCCCUGUGUCUGCUUAAAGAGAGUCUCCCGGAGGACUGCAAUCGUCCUAAGUCCCUUUCCUGGAAGUUUCACGAGCUAGGGAUAGGAGAUGAGAACUAGAUGCCGCCACCCCAGACGAACUUGGUCACAAACUCAUCAUCUCCCAUCUAAUCUUCUGACGGCCCUUCAUCUUUUCUAAAGAUCAUUUACUCCCCACUUAGGAGGUCUACAUCCUCCUCCUCUUCCCCUCUUAAGAUGGUAUUUAAUCUGAAUUCUAAUUAAGCCACCAGGGAGAGUUAAUCAGUUUUCCAGUUUAUCUCCCUGUGUAUAUAUAAACUGCUGUUUGUUCUUCUCUUGUUAACUUUUUUUUUUUAAUUACAGAGGUCUCAGCUAAGAACUCAAGAUGAUAGAGGGAAAAUUAUCUUUCCUCUCCUGCAAGGUCUUGUUUUCGCAACUAGAUGACCCAUUCUCUGAAGAGAGGGGUUCUCUUCUGUGCUUUUUUUGAGCCCUCAUAGUACUUAACAGUGGGUCUUCUGCACGGUGGGUCCUUAACAGGAUUUAACUGACUUUUCACUACGUGGAUUCAUUCUACAGGUACAUAACGGUGGAUUGUCAGUGUUUUAUUAUAAACGAAUAAAUCAGAAACCCCAUGUCAUCACCCUGCCCUUCAACGGCCAUUUCUUAACUCCCCUCUUUUCUUCUCAGCAUUGCAGACCGGGUGUUUCACAUCCUUCCUGUCUCCUCAGGGCGCUUUUGUACUUGCUGUACCAAGAAAACAAAAGCAGCUUACCUCUGUCCACCUCCCUACCCGCCCACCCUCCAGAUAACCCAAGUGCGUGGAAAGCCGUUCCUGCCCGAAGACGAACCCGUGCGAACGUGAUGUGUUACAAAGACCACUGGGUUGGUUAUUGCUGCGGGAUGAAUGUGCGUGGCCUCCUCCCUAAAUUCAUAACCUGAAACUCAGUGCCCGUGUGAUGGCACCUGGAGGUGAGGCGUUUCGGAAGCGAUUAGGUCACUACCACAGAGCCCUCUUGAACGGGAUUAGCGCCCUUAUAAGAGGAACUCAGAGAGCUUCCUCCCACUUCUGCCAGGUGAAGUUACAGUGAAAAGACAGCCAUCUGUGAACCGGGAAGGGGCCCUGCGCCAGAACUCCACCAUGUAGCACCCUGACCCUGCCAGCCUCCAGAAGUGUGAAGAGUAACCGGCAGUUGUUCAGCGACGCCCGGGUUAAGUUCUAGCUCCCUGAAUGGACUUCCACGGCAACCAGUGUUUUCUGUGCUUCGCACCCGCUGUGCGAGCCCGCGCAGGUCCCUGGGGUCUCUGGGACUCGCCGGUGAAAUGAAGGGACUGGACCAGAUUGUCACUAUCUAAUACAUGGCACUCGCAUAUGUGGCUAUUAACAUUUAAAUGAAUUAAAAUGGGAUGAAAUAAAAAAUUCAGUUUUCAGGGACACUAACCACCUUUCCAGGGCUCUAUAGCCACCCAUCUAGUGGCCCCCACACCAGGCAGGGCCAACCUAGGGCAUCCCCCUCCGAGUGGAGGGUUCUGCUGGCCCCAGGCUGGCGGAUUUCCUGGUUUCUUCCAGCCCUAGGACCCAACGUCUGUACACUUAGGGUGGGGAAAUCCUAGAGGGAAAAGAUGGGCGAAUGAACUAGCCUCUGCAGGAUUUAAUGUAAGUCUGGAGGGCGACAUAGAAUGGCUAUGCAGUGCAAAGAGGACACACUCAAAACAAAACAAAACAAAACAAAACAAAACAAAACAAAACAAAACAAAACAAAACAAAGAACCAUGAGCUACCAGUGAUUCGAAGAGUUCUGUCUGGCCUGGGACGACCUUGGAGGCAAGAACAUUUCGCACUGACAGGGCACUGUCGAUAUCCUGGCUGGGUGCCGAGGAGACUUAACGUUGGAUGUUCGCAUAGGGCUGUUUGGCUGCUUUCCCCCGCCCUCCUAUCUGCACAGCUGCGACCAGUUUAUCAGUGUCUCCCCGGCUGGCUGCUGCUAGAACCAGGAGUGUCUCCUCUGAGACAGCACCCAGGAAUGCUGUCCAAGACCAGGCACAGCCCAGGACAGAAAGUCCUCUCAAGGUCAUGGAAGUUACCUUGCCUCUGCUCUCUGGAGCAAGGCUUCUCAGAGCACAGCAACACGCUCUUUGUCACAACCAUGUGUAAGGAGCGUUAGCAGUAUAUUACUUAUAAUAUACUACCAAUGCUUGCAUACCACCUAUUAUGUUAUUGUGUUUACUAAUAAUAGCAAUGGUUAUUUACUGAGCGUUUUUGACAUCUCAGGGACUGUGCUCAAUGGAGUGUACCUUAUAGUUCAUUUGUUCCUUGAAACAACUCUAAGAGUGAGUGUGGCUAUAUUUUACCACCGCCCUGACUCCAAGGUGGAUGGGUGCACAAGCUCUGCGAGAAGAGCUCUAUACUUCUCCUAGUUUUCCCGGUGUCCCCAACCCACCACAAAGAGGAGAGCUUCUGACUGAUACGGGUCAUGUGGAAUAUGUCACACGAGUUCUGUGAAUGUUGAGGCCAGAGAGACGUCCCUUCUGCUGGGAGAUUGUUAGACACUAGCAUGCCUGGCUGGUGAGGUUGGGCUAUCUUCCCUGGACACCAAGAGCCAGGACGCCUGGUGCAGGCCCUCAGCACAGGCAACACUUGUUACUGGAAUGGGAGCUGCAGGCUCCAGGGCACCAGGAGUCCACCAGCUUCCUGGGGCCAGCAGCACGUGAUCCGGCGGAGGCUGGAGCACGCUGGGUCUCUCCAUGGACCACCUAGACCUGGCUCUUCUAUUCCACGGCCCCUUGGCCUAUUUCUUUACAUCAGAGUGAUGGCAAAACAUACCCCCACAGGGUCUAAUUUCAUAGAUGGAGCAAUGAAUACAAUAUGACAUCUGUCUCAUUUUGUGCUUUGCUGGUGUGUGGUAAACAAAUGUUCAAUACAGAGCAACUGUUAUUAGAAUCAUUGUUGUUGAGAAUAGUAACAAGAAUGUAAUAGUAAUGAGAAUGCAGUAAUAGCAAGGAGAAUGGUAGCAUGAAUAUUGCUGUUUUAUUGUUAGUCACGGAUUCUUGGCAAACUCGGGAAUCUGAUGUAGUCUGUGUAUGGGAGGAUUGUGGAGAGGUCAAGAUAGAGACUUGCUCUGACCAAUCAUGCCUUCUUCCAUGUCCUGAGCCCACCUCACCCCAAAGCAUCUGUAUUUCAAUUACACAUUAUACAUGUGGAAACGGAGGCUUCGGUUGGUUGAGAAAGUUGUCCAUCCCAGCGGAUACCUCUAGUAACAUUUCCCUCCCCCUUUGUGUUUCCACACCCAUUCUUGAGUGGGAGAGGAAGGGACGAGGGUGACAUCUGGGAGUGACACACAACACAAAGAUAGCUCGUGGCAGUGUGUUGGACUUGUGGGUUUUAUCAGGCCUCUGGGUCACAGCUGAAAAACAAGGUUUUUGAAAUGGUGAUGUGUCACUGUCGAGAACGGCUCACAGGCAGUGAUGUGGCAUCACUUCUGGCUGAGGGACAAAAAAACUUCACCCAAUCAGGCACACAGUCAGCGAAGACAGUGACAUAAAAUCACCACAGCCUGUCUCUGGAAUCCAGCUGUUUGCUUUGUUUCAAAUAAAUCCAGCAUCAAAGCCACACCAGACAGAAAUUCUCUCAAUGACUAGAGCAGGGAUUUCCAACCAGUGUGACACAAGAAUUUUUAAAACUCGAAAUACCUGGGUAUUUAGUCAGGGGCACUGACCUCUUUUUGAAAAAUCUUUACCAGAGGAUGUAUUUAUUGAUUUUAGAGAGAAAACAAGGAGAGAAGGAGAAAGAGAGAAAAAGCAAGAAAGAGAGAGAUUGAAAGAAACAUCAUCGUAAGAGAGAAAUAUUGAUUGGGUGCCUCCCUAACGUGCCCAGACUGAGGAUUGAACCCACAACCUUUUGGACAAUACUCCAACCAACCGAGCCAUCCAGCCAGGGUAGGGGCAGACCUCUUUUCCCUCAGAUUGUCAAAUAAAAAAAACUGACAAUAGCCAACACAACCAUAGCUGUCUGGUGUAAAUGAAUCAAAAUUGUACCUAUUUUUUUUUUUGUCAGACUGACAAAAAGUAGAAUUUUUUUGGUGUGCCACAGAAUUUUAGUAACUAGUUGGUGCGAUAUUAAAAAAAAGAUCGAAAAGUCCUGGGCUUGAGGAAUGUGGAGUUAGGGUCGGUGACAGUUGUCUAAAAAAUAUCCCUUUGGGCUGGAGGGCCAGUCUGGACUUUGGGUUUCCCUGGUCUUCCCAAGACCUUGAAUCAACUCCAGAAUGAUUUCUGGAGUGUAGGCCUCACCCCAGGGCUUAUUUGUCAUUCUGUCAUUUUUACCAAGCUAUUUACAUUGCUUUUCUUAAUGACUGGCCAAGGACUCCUUUCCUGGUCACUAAGGACAGGGUGAUAAAGUUCAGCCUUUGUGUGCCUAAAGUGUGGAUUUCUCAUAAGGACAGAAAGAGUCAUAGGGUGUGGCUUUCUCCAGAGUUAUUAGGAUGCAGAACUUAAUGGCUCAGACUCUGCAGUCAGAAGACCUGGGCAGGAAUCCAAUCCCACUUCAUCUUAGCUGCCUGAUAUGGGGGCAAGUCGCUCAACUCUUUAAGCCUCAGUUUCCCCAUAUGGAUGUCGAGUUGGAAUAAUGAGAGUAUCCAUUUUGCAGGGUGGCAGGGAGGUUUCGAUGAGCAAAGGUUCUUGAGGUGUUUGGCACACAUUGGCAGUCCUCACACCCAAACAGCCUCACACUCAAAAUAUUUAACAACAGGAAUGAGGAGGGCAGGGACAUAUCAGGGCGGAUGCUGUUAUCACCACUGUUUAUUCUGACUGGUUAAUACGAAUGUUGUUUUGGUUGUUAAGUAUUUUGUAUAUCACUCCUGGUAUUAAUCUCUCAAUAAAUGCUGACUCUGAUUAUUAUUGUUUCUUUUCUCACAAGGAAGGGAAUCAGGAAUUCAUAGGGCAGAGUGUUCUGCACAAUUUGUACCUAUAGAUUUCAUGUUGUGUUCCUGAGUCCCCCAUCCCCACUUCCUCCGUGUUGCCAGGAGGAAACAGCUUCGCCAUUGCAAACAGCCUCCAAGUGCCAUCCAUCAAAGGAGGGAAACUGUUUAGUGUUUCACCGACAGUGUCGCAGAUGAGAAGGAUCCCUCACCCCCGUACUGAAUGCUUCCAGCAGUACAGAGCAUCAUUAGUAAAAAAAUGAUCAGGAAUCAUCAUCAAAGAGAAGCACUCUUCCUAUCCCUUUCAUGCUCAGUGGAAAAAUAACGAGAUCGAGAAGAUAAAAGGCAGGGAGCCAGCCCGUGAGGAGGCAGAAAUGAAAGAGAUGGAUACUCCCCACAUUAGAACAAAAGCAGAAAUAAUAAAC